rnacentral:rRNA from 2 species
GGGUUGUGAGGUUAAGCGACUAAGCGUACACGGUGGAUGCCCUGGCAGUCAGAGGCGAUGAAGGACGUGCUAAUCUGCGAAAAGCGUCGGUAAGGUGAUAUGAACCGUUACAGCCGGCGAUGUCCGAAUGGGGAAACCCAGUGCAAUUCGUUGCACUAUCGUUAACUGAAUACAUAGGUUAACGAGGCGAACCGGGGGAACUGAAACAUCUAAGUACCCCGAGGAAAAGAAAUCAACCGAGAUUCCCCCAGUAGCGGCGAGCGAACGGGGAGCAGCCCAGAGUCUGAAUCAGCUUGUGUGUUAGUGGAACGGUCUGGAAAGUCCGACGGUACAGGGUGAUAGUCCCGUACACCAAAAUGCACAGGCUGUGAACUCGAAGAGUAGGGCGGGACACGUGGUAUCCUGUCUGAAUAUGGGGGGACCAUCCUCCAAGGCUAAAUACUCCUGACUGACCGAUAGUGAACCAGUACCGUGAGGGAAAGGCGAAAAGAACCCCGGCGAGGGGAGUGAAAAAGAACCUGAAACCGUGUACGUACAAGCAGUGGGAGCACCUUCGGGUGUGACUGCGUACCUUUUGUAUAAUGGGUCAGCGACUUAUAUUCUGUAGCAAGGUUAACCGUAUAGGGGAGCCGCAGGGAAACCGAGUCUUAACUGGGCGUUAAGUUGCAGGGUAUAGACCCGAAACCCGGUGAUCUAGCCAUGGGCAGGUUGAAGGUUGGGUAACACUAACUGGAGGACCGAACCGACUAAUGUUGAAAAAUUAGCGGAUGACUUGUGGCUGGGGGUGAAAGGCCAAUCAAACCGGGAGAUAGCUGGUUCUCCCCGAAAGCUAUUUAGGUAGCGCCUCGUGAAUUCAUCUUCGGGGGUAGAGCACUGUUUCGGCUAGGGGGUCAUCCCGACUUACCAACCCGAUGCAAACUACGAAUACCGAAGAAUGUUAUCACGGGAGACACACGGCGGGUGCUAACGUCCGUCGUGAAGAGGGAAACAACCCAGACCGCCAGCUAAGGUCCCAAAGUCAUGGUUAAGUGGGAAACGAUGUGGGAAGGCACAGACAGCCAGGAUGUUGGCUUAGAAGCAGCCAUCAUUUAAAGAAAGCGUAAUAGCUCACUGGUCGAGUCGGCCUGCGCGGAAGAUGUAACGGGGCUAAACCAUGCACCGAAGCUGCGGCAGCGACACUAUGUGUUGUUGGGUAGGGGAGCGUUCUGUAAGCCUGCGAAGGUGGCCUGUGAGGGUUGCUGGAGGUAUCAGAAGUGCGAAUGCUGACAUAAGUAACGAUAAAGCGGGUGAAAAGCCCGCUCGCCGGAAGACCAAGGGUUCCUGUCCAACGUUAAUCGGGGCAGGGUGAGUCGACCCCUAAGGCGAGGCCGAAAGGCGUAGUCGAUGGGAAACAGGUUAAUAUUCCUGUACUUGGUGUUACUGCGAAGGGGGGACGGAGAAGGCUAUGUUAGCCGGGCGACGGUUGUCCCGGUUUAAGCAUGUAGGCUGGUUAUCCAGGCAAAUCCGGAUAAUCAAGGCUGAGGUGUGAUGACGAGGCACUACGGUGCUGAAGUAACAAAUGCCCUGCUUCCAGGAAAAGCCUCUAAGCAUCAGGUAACAUCAAAUCGUACCCCAAACCGACACAGGUGGUCAGGUAGAGAAUACCAAGGCGCUUGAGAGAACUCGGGUGAAGGAACUAGGCAAAAUGGUGCCGUAACUUCGGGAGAAGGCACGCUGGUGUGUAGGUGAAGUCCCUGCGGAUGGAGCUGAGACCAGUCGAAGAUACCAGCUGGCUGCAACUGUUUAUUAAAAACACAGCACUGUGCAAACACGAAAGUGGACGUAUACGGUGUGACGCCUGCCCGGUGCCGGAAGGUUAAUUGAUGGGGUUAUCCGUAAGGAGAAGCUCUUGAUCGAAGCCCCGGUAAACGGCGGCCGUAACUAUAACGGUCCUAAGGUAGCGAAAUUCCUUGUCGGGUAAGUUCCGACCUGCACGAAUGGCGUAAUGAUGGCCAGGCUGUCUCCACCCGAGACUCAGUGAAAUUGAACUCGCUGUGAAGAUGCAGUGUACCCGCGGCAAGACGGAAAGACCCCGUGAACCUUUACUAUAGCUUGACACUGAACAUUGAGCCUUGAUGUGUAGGAUAGGUGGGAGGCUUUGAAGCGUGGACGCCAGUCUGCGUGGAGCCAACCUUGAAAUACCACCCUUUAAUGUUUGAUGUUCUAACGUGGGCCCCUGACCGGGGUUGCGGACAGUGUCUGGUGGGUAGUUUGACUGGGGCGGUCUCCUCCCAAAGCGUAACGGAGGAGCACGAAGGUUAGCUAAUCCUGGUCGGACAUCAGGAGGUUAGUGCAAUGGCAUAAGCUAGCUUGACUGCGAGCGUGACGGCGCGAGCAGGUGCGAAAGCAGGUCAUAGUGAUCCGGUGGUUCUGAAUGGAAGGGCCAUCGCUCAACGGAUAAAAGGUACUCCGGGGAUAACAGGCUGAUACCGCCCAAGAGUUCAUAUCGACGGCGGUGUUUGGCACCUCGAUGUCGGCUCAUCACAUCCUGGGGCUGAAGUAGGUCCCAAGGGUAUGGCUGUUCGCCAUUUAAAGUGGUACGCGAGCUGGGUUUAGAACGUCGUGAGACAGUUCGGUCCCUAUCUGCCGUGGGCGCUGGAGAAUUGAGGGGGGCUGCUCCUAGUACGAGAGGACCGGAGUGGACGCAUCACUGGUGUUCGGGUUGUCAUGCCAAUGGCACUGCCCGGUAGCUAAAUGCGGAAGAGAUAAGUGCUGAAAGCAUCUAAGCACGAAACUUGCCCCGAGAUGAGUUCUCCCUGAGACUUUAAGUCUCCUGAAGGAACGUUGAAGACGACGACGUUGAUAGGCCGGGUGUGUAAGCGCAGCGAUGCGUUGAGCUAACCGGUACUAAUGAACCGUGAGGCUUAACCUUACAACGCCGAAG